CCUUCUACCACUACAAACCCAGGGAGGCAGGAGUUGAGGCUGUGCCAAGGACUGGACAACGACCAAAAACUCAUCUCUGACAAAUCAUCUUUUCUGGCAAGAAUCACGUACACAAGCCUUAUUGAAAAGGAAGACUCAACGAGGGCUGAGAUCUCCAUGCUUCGAGGUCUCAGACUGGGAUGCAUUUGGAGUAACAAGGUUUCCGGAGGGAGGGAUAUUGAAGAAUACAUAUCAGAUGGAUGAAAAAUGGUCGCUCAGGGUUUUCUAUUUCUGGAGGGAGGGAUAUUUAUAAAUAGGUUUUCUAGUUUGGAUUCUAUCCUUCCGAUUGAUAUAUUGCAUUUUUCUCUGUUUGUCGGGGCCUUUCUCCUAGGGAGAGUAGCAAUAGUGCUGUCUUUCAUUUCUAUUGUGUAGGACGGCUUAAUGCCUUUUCCCCCAUUAUACUUUAUGAUCAAGGUUCAAAGUAUUAAGAUGCUCUUGAUUGUCUAAUCA